rnacentral:rRNA from 1 species
GCCUUCGGGAACUCUGAGACAGGUGCUGCAUGGUUGUCGUCAGCUCGUGUUGUGAAAUGUUGGGUUAAGUCCCGCAACGAGCGCAACCCUUAUUGUUUGUUGCCACCGGUUAGGUCGGGAACUCAAAGGAAACGGCCGGGGAUAACCUGGAGGAAGGGGGGGAUGACGUCAAUUCUUCUGGGCCCUUAGUAUUAGGGUUACCCACGUGCUACAUGGGCAUAUACAAAGAGAAGCGACCUCCCGAGAGGAGCUAAACUUCAUAACUUAUGUCGUAUUCCGGAUUGGAGUCUGCCUCUCGACUCCGUGAAUGGAGAAUCGCUAGUAAUCGUGGAUCAAAAGUGCCGGGUGAAUACUUCCCC